rnacentral:lncRNA from 1 species
UUCCAUUGACCAAGACUUGCGGAGGCCCUUCCCGUGUAUAAAUCUGGACCAAUUUCUUCCUGAAUCAUCACAAUACAUCGUCUCUUUACAUAAAAUCACACACAGAGAAACUUCAGCAGUAAGCAGAUCAUCCAUGGAACACGGACACCAUCAUGGCAGCCACCACGGUCAUCAUCAUGGCCACCAUGGUCAUGGUCAUGGACACGGACAUCAUCAUGGCGGUGGCCAUGGUCACGGACACGAUCACGGCCACGGUCAUGGUGGUCAUGGCCAUGGUCAUGGUGGUCAUGGCCACUGUCCGCCGCCACCAUGCCCGCCACCACCACAACCGUACUGCCCACCACCACCUCCACCGCCCCCACCUCCUCUGGCGAUCUACCCAAUAUACGUGCCUCGUCCUGUAUGUCCACCGCCUCCCUGCUUCCGUCGCUGUUAGCACCUUCGACCAGAUCUCAUGAUUCUAAGCCACUACUUCUCUAGAGUCGUGUUACAGCUGAAUGCAGCUCUCAUCGUCUGUGCCUGCUGUUGGAUAAUUGCAAUCUACAGAUUGUGUCAUGAUGUGUGUGUAAAACAAGUCUACUACUAUGCGUCGUGGUUUUGUGCCAUGUGUGCUCAUAGUCAAGACCCAAUUCUUCUGUCGAACUUCAUUUUACUGGGUCAGAGCACAAGUGUCCUUGUCUAUCGUGGUUAACCAGCUACCGUCUCAUUGUAGUUUUGUGUUGCUGGAUAAUGUCAUUAUGGGAUUUCAAUUCCUUUUCUUCAGUUGGUUGAAGUAAUAGAUCUUAUUUAUGUAUAUAUAAUGUUGCGAUCUUAACAUAGAUGUGCGUAGUCAUAGUUUUCUUUUCUGAUUUUUCCCGUACAAGUUAUUGAAAAACCCUAAUCAACAACUCCUUNNNNNNNNNNNNNNNNNNNNNNNNNNNNNNNNNNNNNNNNNNNNNNNNNNNNNNNNNNNNNNNNNNNNNNNNNNNNNNNNNNNNNNNNNNNNNNNNNNNNAUUUGAAGGAGUACCUCCAUAAUAUGUUCAUGAUCAUUAUAUCUCUUUGGUUCUAGGAGCAAAUCUUAAUGCAUCUGAUUUAUGCAAGUUUGAUACACGUGAGUUUCCAAAUCAAGUCAAUUCCAUAUAAGGCGCACCAAAUCUAAUGCGUCACAUGUAGUAGGUUACACGAGCUGAGUACAAAGCAUAAAUUCUAGAAAUACCUUAUGCUGGCAUUAAAUUUUAACAUAAACCUAUUUCUUAACCCAUAUUCGAUGGGCCAGGUUGUUUAUGAGUUAAUUUUAUUUAGUAAGUAGGUCUUAAAUGAAUUUUGAAUGAUAAAGCUAAAAAUAAUAUGGUAUUAAAUGGGUCCAUAACUUAUUUAGACAUAAUCCACCUCUAUAAUUCUUUCUUCACUCUCUUUCACCCUCACUUGAUCUCACAAUCAAGGUAACAUUCUUACAGUAAUUCAACAAGGAAAAAAGACAACAGCACAGAUCGAAGAAAACCCGAAACUUACAAUUCAAAGAAAGAAGUAUUUGUUUUGAGGAACCACAUUUUUUGAUCCCAACUCCAUCUUUUGCACGUCAAACUUGAAUAAAGAAUAACAAUGUGCAGAAACUUAGGGCGCGUUUGGUAACGCUUCUGUUCUGGGGAACAAUUUUUGAUCAGAUGUGAUUUUUUUUCUGAUUAUGUUAUCGGGAAUAAUUACUGAGCAAAAGAAAAGAUUUGGUACCACCGCCCGCGGUGGCCGCGAUGGUUAAGGCUUGGUACCCCAUCCGCAGGGGGAAGGGUUCGAGACUCCGCGUCCGCGUUGCUUCAAUGCAAAACGCGCGAUUCACCUGUGCCUGGGUCUGUGGUGGUGGCCCAGUUCACCCCAGGGUUUACUCUCCGCCGCGAAGCGGCGCACGGAGGUUCCCUGGGUCACCAAAAAAGAAAGAAAAGAUUUGGUAACCCCAUAAAAUUUUUAUUUUUGGAAUAGAAAUCCGUUUGGUAUGAUUUUUAAUAUUUAUAUUUCUUUUAAUUUUUACAUAUUUUUAUUAUAUUUUCUUAUUUUUCUCUUUUAUUCUUUUCUUUUUCUCUUUGGCCGGCGACCGGUUGGGCGAGGUUUGGCAAGCUCGCCGGAGCCUCGCCAGGCUAGGGCGAGGUCUAGCGAGUUCACUUGGCCACGGUGAGGCUCGACCUUGCCUAGGCGACACGAGGUCAACCUUCGCCUUGGCUUGGAGAGGCCGAGCCUCGCGUCGGCUGGGGAGGUCAAGCCUCGCUGUGGCUCGGCGUCGCUGGGGGCUGGUGACGCUCUAGUGAGGUCGCCGGGUCUCGUUUGGCUGGUCACUGGCGCCGGCCAUGGCCAAGGCUAGCAACCGGUCAAAAGGAAGAAGAAGAAAAGGAAAGAGGAGAAGAAGAAAAGAGAAGAAGCGAGAAGAGAAGAAAAAAUAAAUUCUUUUUUUUUCUUUUGAUUCUUAGGAAUUGAUUCCGAGAACGAGAAACUACUUUUUUCUACUUCUUGUUUUUGUUCCAAAUUUAUUGUGAGAAUAAAAAAUCUAUUUUUUGUUCCCAGGAACAAAAAUUUUAUCAAACAAGUUUUUUUUUUUUUUCUUUUUCGUUUCCUGAAACAAAAGAACAAAAAUAGUUAUUCCGGAGAAUAGAAAUUUUUUUUUAUCAAGCAGGGCCUUAAAUGCUUGUAUCCGCGAGAGGUUGACGAGAGCAGAAACGAGUUCACACGAGAAAGAACGGCUAGUGGCGACGAAAACAGGUUCGUUGGGUCAAAUUCGAGCAGAAGCCCGGUCAUAUAUGUCAUACGCGUGAUUGGCGAAGGCUGUUGUAAUAGCUUUUAAUCCACGGAAGCUUCCAGAAAGGAGAAGUUGGAUCAGUAGACCAAGUGCUAAUGAGGACAGACUCGUCACGUUCUUAAAUCUGGUGAUCGGGGUGAGUCUACUUUUGAAGCACAUCAAUUCGUCACAUUUUUAAAUCAGAUGAUCAGGUUGGCUCAUUAUGUUCAAGAAAAAUCCGUCUUAUCAGGAUACAGUGCCAAUUUUGGUAGGUCUAGAUCAUGCGUGAGUAAGUGAUUAAUUGGCUAGCUGAAAUAUGAUCUUAGAACAUGUGGAAAUUAAACUAAACGAUGUGAGAAUCAUCUUAAAUUGGAGUAUAAAUAUGGUUAAAGCUCACGCAAGGUUAAGUUAGAUAGCAUGCUCAUGUUCUAGCUUUACCUGGUAAUUUGUUUUCUAUAGUCACUUCAGCAAAUGUUUAAACUCACGAAAUCUCUAAUUUUGCAUCUCUAAUUCUCAUGCGUAGCCCAAUAUUAAAUCUCUAAUCGAUUUCUAUGCAUGUUUUGGUAAUAACUCUCUAAUGCAGAUGGCGGGGUUCGGUUCCAAAUCUCCACAUGAAUAAAGGUCACGAAAUUGAAUGACGUGAAUAAUUUAAUUCAUUAUAAUUUUAUGCAUAUCGGUUUGCUAGCGAAAAUUCACAUCAACAACAACCUAUGAAGUAAUAUAACAAAUAUAGUUUUAGACUGGUAACACGCGGACAUCAUGUUACUACAUAGUAAAACCGGGAUGCUAAAUCAUCGUGAUGGGUGCCAAAAAAAAGAGCCAAAGGAAAAUUGAGAGGUAAGUAUUAAUACUGAUGUUUUGAAAAUAAUAUAUGAAUUCACAACCUUUUUUUCCCCCCGCUGCUUAUUGUAUAGUUAGCUUUUAUUUUUUAUUUUUUAUGGGGCUACAUUGCUCCACCCGCGUGGUGGAAUACCGAGUAAACUGCAGUCAUUUUAAUAUAUACGGAUCUUCUAAUCAUUAUUAAACCAUAAUGCAGGGGUUUAUUUCCUGAGCAAAAUCGUCAGUGGGAAAACCAAAUAAAAACUUAUGGAGGAUUUAUUUCAACCGACCUUCCAGGAAAAUUAUAUGCCAUUGACCAAGACUUGCGGAGGCCACUCCUGUGUAUAAAUUCUGGACCAAUCUCUUCCUGAACCAUCACAAGACAUCAUCUCUUUACAUAAAAUCACACAGAGAAUAACUUCAGCAAUCAGCAGAUCAUCCAUNNNNNNNNNNNNNNNNNNNNNNNNNNNNNNNNNNNNNNNNNNNNNNNNNNNNNNNNNNNNNNNNNNNNNNNNNNNNNNNNNNNNNNNNNNNNNNNNNNNNGUCCGGGACGCGGGCGAUGGGGGCGUCACGGUCAUGGCCACAGCCACAGUCACGGUCACGGCCCUGGACACGGUCACCGUCAUGGCCACGGCCACGGCCACGGUCACGGUCCAGGGCCGUGACUUGGACACGGUCAUGGUCAUGGCCACGGGCACGGUCACGGUGGUCAUGGCCACGGCCCGCCACCUCCACCUCCACCUCCACCGCCCCCACCUCCUGUAUUUCUCCCCCCUCCUCCUCCGUGCUUCCGUCGCUGUUAGCAGCCUCGGCCGAAGCUCGUGAUUCUAAGUGGCUACUUCUCUAAAGUUGCAUCACAACUGAAUGCAGCUCUCACCGUCUGUGCCUGCCGUUGUGUAAUUGCAAUCUACAAAGCGCUGUCAUGAUGUAUGUGUAAAACAAGUCUACUCUCAUAUGUCAUGGUUUUGUGUCAUUUGUCAUCAUGGCUAACAGCUAUCGCGUCAUUGUAAUUUUGUGUUGCUGGAUAUUGUCAUUAUGGGAUUUCAAUUCCUUUUCUUUGGUUGGUUCAAGUGAUGGAUCUCAUUUAUGUAUAUAUAACGUUGUGAUCUUGGAAUAGACGUGCAUAGUCAUGCUUUCCUUUUCUGAUUUUUUUCCUACAAGCUGUUGGAAAAAAUGUCGGAAGAUAUGCUCGAGAUGAAGGAAAUCAAUCCAGAUUUAGAUUGACACAUCAAAUCAAUCAAGGAUUAGAAUAAAUCAAUCAAAGAUUACAAUUGAUUCCUUAGAAUAUACUCCUUCCUUUCUUUGUAUAUUCCUUGUACUAUUUAUACAGAACAUUAUACAUGUAAUAUUUCAAGUUAAAGAAAUACAUAAAUUCUCCUCAAAUUCCCUUCGUCUUUGACUUCUGCUUUUCUCCUUCGACUUCUUUCAAGGUAUCAGAGCAUUUUCGAGUUCCUGGCCUAGCUUCCACAUAAUCCUCUUGAUUGCUUGCUGGACCUUUUCUUUUCCUUGUUGUAGAAAAAUUACACUAACCCGUAAUAAGGUUAGCACUUCGGUGUAGGGAUCAGUAUUUUAAAAAUCAAAAAGCAAAGUGAAGAAAAUUUAUUUACCAAUACCAUGAAUCAAAAUCUACCAUCAGCUUCUGACUGGCGUGCUUCAUAGGGGUGAUCGGGUCCAGGGUGGGUAGGGUCUAAACCUAGACCCUGUACCCUACCUUGUUAUAACCGGUUACCCUUUUUUGGACCCUGUACCUGAUCAUGUUUGUAUUAGAUUUUGUACCCGACUCACCCUGUUUUUCCGGUCCGGUUCCAAGGUCAACCAUGUUUCCACUGGAACCUGUUUUGCAAUAUCUCAAUAUCCUAUAUUACUUCGAAUUUUAUAUUAACACGUGAGAAAAUAACAUAAUCUUCCUAAUUUGUAUCGAAACAUUAAGCACUUGUACUAAAUAAAUACAUGAACUUUUUAACUAAAUGAAAAAUUAAUGAUCCAUAUGGCUAAUUAUAAUAAAUAAAAUCAUAAAGCAAAGAAUUAGCAACAAACAUGGGUCUAAUAUUAGUUUUAUUCCUACAACUACUAUAUGAAGCUACUCAUUUAUGCAAGCAUAACUCUUCUUACAAAAGAGAAAUUAGGCGAGCCAAUCCACGUGGUACACAAGAAUUUAGCGGUGACAAACACCGUCCGUCCGUCGAAUGGUGCGAGAGGGAGCCGAUGAGGGAGGGAAGCAAGUGAGGAAAAGGAACGACAAAGGAGAAGUGCCGUGUUUGAGAGAGCCAAGAGGAAAAACGCUGUGUAAGUGCAGGAAUAAGAAUAGAAAUAAGGGGAAAAAAUAGGGUUUUGAACCUAUACUUACAAAACCGGUUCCAAAACCGGUCCGGGAACCGGUUCCUAUGUGGGUAAUCAAUCGGAACCAGUUCUCGGACUAAUUUAAACCGGUUUCGAAUUUUGGGAACCGGUUCCAGCAUCGGUUUCAACGGGAACCAGUUCCCGACCUUGUUUUUCGGGUGGGCCGGUCCCGGUUCCCGAGUAUACUCAGUCCGGUUGCACACCCCUAAUGCUUCAAAGGAGCAAACACAAGAAGUUUAAGGACUCCAAGGUUCUACCUUAAGCCCAACUGCUGAAGUCAUUGCAAGUUAGGAGUAGCCCACUCGGUUUCAACAUGUACAAUGGCAUCCUUUCCAAGCUCAGCCAAAUAUGGAGCAACCCAUCCUGGGCCAGCCCAUUGAAGGUCAAUCCUCCCUGUGGCUGUCGGUUCAGGUCCAGCUCAAUCCAUGGUUUUAUGGGCCAAAUCAAAAUGUCUCGUGGCCAGGAAAUCAGGGCCAUGAAAAUAACAUCCAGUCUUGUGGGAGCUCAUCGACCAUUAAUAAGGCAAGCCUAACCACUGGGCCGGGAUGGUUCAAUGUGGGUCAAGCACUCGGACCAAGUACUUUGGGUCUAGGAACGAAUCUCUACCUAGUUCUCCAACCCGAUUUUCCGCCACUCACGGUCACCAAUGGUUGCCCAGAGCCUGGCAACCCAUUGUUUGUCUCCAUCGCCAACGGACUAGAAUUGUGGCUUAUUUCCCAUCAACAUUUAGCACUCGGAAAUUACUCGAUUUGGGCGCAAGAAUUCCGGGAAGCUCUUGUCGCAAAGAACAAGGAUGGAUACCUUGACAGAACCAUUCCAAUUUCGAUCGAGGAACAAUUGGUGCGAUAAUGAAAAAAAUGUAAUUAACUUGUCCAAUAAUGGAUCGGAAAUUGCUUAGCCCCAAACGUCACAGCCGAUUUGCUCCUAACGGAGGACCCAAAAAUAAUGUGAGAAAACAUAAAAAAAAAUGCAUAGAAAAUUGGAUUUAGCUAAUAUUUUUUCCCUUAUCCAGGCACUCUCAAAGUUGAAGAAAGGAAACAUAUGCUUCAACAGAGGUAUUUUGAAUCAAGUUGGGCUUCCAUAGCUAUAUUUUUGACAUAUUUCCAUCGAUCAAGAAGACUCUUAUUCUCCAUUUUCACAUAGGCAAUAACAUGAUCCUUAUUUUUAUCAUAGAUAGUGUGGGUAUCUCCUUUAAAGUAUAAAGAGUACUCAUUUUGAAUCAUUUGGACCAUACUGAGUAGAUUUUGUGCAAGAUUGGGAAUCAGAUGUACUUCAUGAAUAUAUUUUGUGCCUUUCUUAAUUUUAACAGCUAUAGUCCCUUUUCCUUUCACAUCAACCAAUGCACCAUUCCCAAACUCACUUGUGUUUUCGUCGAUGUAUCAAUAUUGGUGAAUACAUAUUCAUCUCUUGUCAUGUGAUUGCUACACCCACUAUCAGUAUACCAUGGAUCAUUCUUCUCAUCUUUUUCCUCUUGGCCUAUGUAGAAUAAAUUAUCUGUAUUUUCUUCUUCCUCUUCUUUGCUUUUUUCUUCAAUAUAAUUUACUUAAUAAUUAUUUUAGAGGGACAAAACUUUUCUAUGUGGCCAUAUAUUUUACAAGAGUGGCAUUGUGGUUUAUUUCUAAUCUAGCAAUCCUUCUCCAAAUGAUUAGUCUUCUUGCAAAUACCACAAGGUGGAUAUUUUUCCUUUUGUAUAGUUUUCCUCUUCUUCUAUUUUUCCAUGAGCUUCUUCCACUACUUUUAGAAUUAUGAGACUGUAUGUUCAUUUUUGACUAAAAGCACUUUCAACUGUGUCUUCAUCCUGCACUUGCAAUCUUUUUUCAUAUGCUUCUAAAGAGCCAAUUAGCUCACUCAUUGAUAGGGUUUUUAAAUCCUUAUAUGAUUCUAUAGUAGUGACAAUAGAAUUGUAUUUUCUAGUGAGUGUCACCAAUAAUUUUUCAGCAACCCUUUGAUCAGUGAUAUCAUCUCCAUAAUAUCUCAUCUGAUUUACUAGUUCUUUCAAUCUACCACAAUAUUCUUGAAUAGUCUUAUAAUUUUUCAUCUUAGAAUUCUCGAAUUCCCUUUUCAAAGUUUGAAGUUGUAUAGUUCAUACCUGUUUAGUGCCUUGAAAUUCUUCUUGUAAUAUCUUCCAAGCCUUCUUUGUAGUCUUCACUCCAAUUAUUCUCGCAAAUACUAUUUUCGAGAGUGCUUACUGAAUAAAGUAUAGUGCCAUUGCAUCCUUUUGUAGUUGAUCCUUUGGAACACUCGCACCUUCGAAGCCUCAUAACCUCUUUUGGCGAUGUCCCAUAAGUCUUGGGCCAUCAAGAACAUAGUCAUUUUGAUGCUCCUGUAAUCAUAGUUAUUCCCAUCAAAGAUAGGAGUGGGAAAUGAGGAUAAUGUAGCGUUGGCCAUAGUUUAGCUGUUGGAAAUUUGGAUGGGUAGUUUUAGGAAUGGGUGGUUAGGACAAAGCCCGAUACCAACCAAAGACGUGGCUUUGAUACCACUGUUGGAAUUCGUGGAAGCGUAAGUGUGCAAGUGUGUGUGAAUUAUGAUAAAGGAGCUGAGAAAUGGAGUAAGCACAAGCUAAAUUUUAUUCAAGGACUUGUGUGAUACAAAGAAUAAUGAAGUGGCUCUCUCUUAGUUUCUAGUUCUGGUUCUCUCAACUCACGCUUUCUCUCUUUUAGUUCUAAUUGUUAUAUUUUUUUUUUACAAGGUUGAGAACUCUUGCGUAUUUAUAGGCAAGUUUCAAUGACUACAAGCAUGACAAUUUUGACUUUUUCACCGCCAUAGUGUAAAUGGGAGACAACUCAUUUUCUUCUUCUUCAAGUACUCUUGCUGCCCACGUAGUACCAAAAGCUUCUCCACCACAUGAGUCUUCAACUUUGACUUGGACUUGCCUUUUCUUGCAUUUCAUGUGCAUUGUUGCCGACUUGAAGUGCCGACUUAGACGAAUUGUUGCUGCCAUCUCUUUCCUUCUUUGUUAAGCAUACUUCAUUCCUAAGCAUAUGUAGGUAAGUGUGUUAUGGGACUUUCCAAAAAUGGAUCACUUUUUAACAGUUAAAUAUAUAUUAGGUGAAUCUGAAAGUCAAGAUAAUCUAGAAACAAGAGGCAGCAAUUGAAUUUUGAGCGGGUACAAAUUAUAGACACCCGUACUUGCAUUACUUUGCUGUGACGAGGGAUGGAGGGUGAUUUAUUGGCAAGAGGCAACAAAAUUAAUUAUUGCAAUAAGUAAGUGAUCGAAUAAUAAAAUAAAUAUAAUGAGGAAUUAAUUCAAAUGUCAAAUUUACGUAAUUCAGUUAGCGUGAUUGAUAUUCAUGGGGAGAGCAACAUGUCAUACUCGAAUCAUUUAAACACUCUCAGAAUUUUCUCAGAAUUUUCCAGUCUUUAAUUACACUCAAUAGCACUUAAUGUGUUUAACACCACAAUUCCCGCCGAAAUCACUUUUCAAUCUCACAAAUGAAUUUGUUAAACUUAUCACAAGGUUUAUGGGCUUCAACACUCUCAAAUUGUUUCAGGAUGUAAUUCAUAGAAAAAAAAACUCUUGGAUCCUCUUCAUAUAGAAAUUCUUAUAUAUAGCCAAGAGUUAACUUUUUUAUUCCAUUAUUUACUGCUAAUAUUUCCUUGAAAGUAAACCCCUUUAGGAAAUCAAUUCAUCUCAAAAAAUUACUUAGAUUAGGAAAAUUUCUUUUCAAACUCAAACUCGAUAUAUAUUUAUAAUAUUUUUGUUGAACCCAGGUUCAAUGCAAACAGACAGUAUCUCUCGGCAUUAGAUUUGACAAAGUUAUAGCAUUGUUAGUAAUUUUGUAAUUUUUGACAAAGUAAAAGUAAUUUUGUAAUUUUUUUUUGAGCUUUUGGGCCAAAAGUUUGAACAAAUUUAAAUGCGAUAAUUGCACGCAAUUACCCAGAACAUCGGCAACUUAUAACUUGCAACGUGCAAUAUGGACUGCUAGGUCAAUUUUUUAUAUUGGAAAAUAAAAUAAUUGACUCAUACACUCUGACCGGCGAACAAUGAUCUGAUGCUGUCCAAGCAAGAUCUAUAUAUGUAUAUGAAAUAUUAAUAGAUUAACACUUAGGUGAACGAAAUUAGCGGAACCAACUUGCAUAUUUUCUCCAAUUCGAUCAUAGCGACCUAGAUUUGUCAUUUCCGUCUACCGUUAUAAAAUAACAUUGACGUGUUCGAACCUCUAUUUACUUACUGCAAUCAGGGCAACAUUCUUACAGCAAUUCAACAGGGUAAAGAGACAACGACACAGGUCAAGGAAAUACGAAACUUGCAAUUCAAAGAAGGAAGUAUUUCUUUCGAGGAAACCACAUUUUUGAUCCCAACUCCGUCUUCUGCAAGUCAAUUUCGAAUGAAGAAUAAUGAGGUUUAAAAACUAAGUUGCAUGUAUCCACCAGAGAUUGACAAGAGCAGAGAGUUCACACGAGAAGAACGGUGAGUGGCGACGAAAACAAAGUUCGCUGGGGUCAAAUUCGAGCAGGAAACCCUAGGUCAUAUGUGAUAAGGAUAAUGACGAAGGCUGCAGUAGCUUCCAUGGCACGCAAGGGGAAAACCAAAUAAGAAAAAUUAUGUGUGAGAUUUAUCCAACCGACCUUCCAGGAAAAUGAUAUUCCAUUGACCAAGACUUGCGGAGGCCCUUCCCGUGUAUAAAUCUGGACCAAUUUCUUCCCGAACCAUCACAAUACAUCGUCUCUCUACAUAAAAUCACACACACAGAAACUUCAGCAAUCAGCAGAUCAUCCAUGGAACACGGACACCAUCACGGCGGCCACCAUGGUCAUCAUCAUGGCCACCAUGGUCACGGUCAUGGACACGGACAUUGUCACGGCGGCGGCCAUGAUCACGGACAUGGACACAGUCACGGCCACGGUCACGGUCAUGGUGGUCAUGGCCACGGUCAUGGUGGCCAUGGCCACUGUCCGCCACCACCAUGCCCGCCACCACCACAACUGUACUGCCCGCCCCCGCCUCCUUCGGCGAUCUACCCGAUAUACGUGCCUCGUCCUGUAUGUCCACCUCCUCCCUGCUUCCGUCGCUGUUAGCACCUUCGACCAGAUCUCAUGAUUCUAAGCCGCUACUUCUCUAAAGUCGUAUUACAGCUGAAUGCGGCUCUCGUCGUCUGUGCCUGCUGUUGGAUAAUUGCAAUCUACAGAUUGUGUCAUGAUGUGUGUGUGCAAAACAAGUCUACUACUAUGCGUCGUGGUUUUGUGUCAUGUGUGCUCAUAGUCAAGACCCAAUUCUUCUGUCGAACUUCAUUUUACUGGGUCAGAGCACAAGUGUCCUUGUCUAUCAUGGUUAACCAGCUACCGUCUCAUUGUAGUUUUGUGUUGCUGGAUAAUGUCAUUAUGGGAUUUCAAUUCCUUUUCUUCGGUUGGUUGAAGUAAUGGAUCUUAUUUAUGUAUAUAUAAUGUUGCGAUCUUACCAUAG